CUGAAAUUGAUUUAUUUUUACCUUUUAUUGCUUCUGGUCUGUUCUGGAUAUUUGGGCUCUCCAAUUUUGUACUUGGCUUGCCGUUUAGACCCAAUUUUUCAGUAUGUUUCUGCUUGACUCCCUAGAACAGAAUUGUGUUCUGUCCUCUUUAACAUUUAUUGAUUCUAUUCUUAUUGCAUUGGUCUGAAUCCUACCCAUGGCUGAAAAUAAAUUACAAAACCAACAGGCCUGUGGCCUAGCGGUACAAGGCUCCUACUUCCCAAAGGGAGGUUAGGAGUUCGAACCUCAGUGGAGGCAGUGUGUGUGAGUCCCAACUAGGAAAAAAAAAAAAAAUUACAACCCCUCAAGGACACACGAUGAUAUGCCUAAAUUGAUCACCUCGAAAAUAUUAAAUGGUGUUAAUUAUUUGUCUUGGGCACAUGCUGUUCAAAUUUUUCUGCGUGGAAAAAGAAAGUUGAAAUACUUGACUGAAAAUCCUCCCUCUCACAAGAAGGAACUUGAAGAUUGGGCAUGUGAUGAUUGUGUUGUUAUGGGAUGGCUAUGGCAUAGUAUGGAACCCGUUAUUGCUAGUACAAUUGAAUUUUGUGACUCUUUUAAGUAGAUUUGGGAGUCUCUUGCUGAGUCAUGUUCACACCUCUCGCCUAUUUGUAUAUUAAGAAGAUAAAAUUUCAGCAGUUACAAUAGUGUCCUUGUAUUUGGUUUCUUCCAUAUUUCUAAUGGAAUUGUCUAAUAAAAUUGCACUAAAUGGCCAUGGAAGCAACCAAAUCAGUUUUGGUGAUAGCUUUUCCAUUUCUUCUUUUUAUUUACUUUUUAUUUGUUGAUGUCUCCUUUAUUAUUAUAUUUUCUGUAUUGAUUCUUUAUUCUCAUUGCUCUAAUAUUCCUUUUCCUUGCUGAAGUAGCUCUCUUAUAUUCUUUUCACAUUAACUUUUAUUCUUCUGAUAAGUAUUUUCUUAUGGAACAAGAAGGCUAUUAACAGACAAAUAUUAAUGUGUUUCUUCUCUUUUUUCUUAUGCUCAUGUUCUGGACGUGUUUCAAAACAGUGUUUCAAUUUGAAUUUUAUUUUAAAGUUCAAACGUUUGAUGAAAUCUUGACUUGAUUAGACAUCUUUGGGAACAUAUGAGAAUUUAUAUCAUUGAUUGGUUGUUGAUAUAAUUGUUAAUUUAAUUUUGAUUCACUUGUUAUCAUUUUUGUUAGUCGAUAUGAUGGCCACGAUUUAUGGAAUGACUUGCCAUAUUAGCAGAGACUUGAUUAUGCUUUAGAAUAUGCUUUGAUUUAAUUUAGAUUUGAUUUAAUUUCCUUUCUUGUAAUAUGAACAUUUGCUCUUUUUAUCUAUAAAUACUAGGGUUGUGAAUGAGUAUAGGUAUUUUUAAGCUUUACAAUUUCUUUUUUACUCUUCUAGGGUUGGGUAAAUUGGGAUAGUUGGUCUCCAACACCUAGAAGGGCUUGGGUAAUUUUUUUUUGAGUCUACAGAGAAGUUCCGGAUAUUGUUUAGGAGGCUGUCCGGCUAUAUGUAAGUGGGUAGCGCUCCUUGAAAAAGUCUGUAUUUGGACUUUUCGGGAAUGGUUUGAGCAGACAUUGUUAUUGUUUAUGGUCUGAGGAGAUCCUUUGAUUUAUUAACAGAAUUUGUGGUGUUUUUGUAGUUGUUUAUUGUCGUUUGACAGAUAAUGCAGAUUUAGAGUCAUCGACUGUUAAUUCUCUUGGCUCAAGUUCUGUGGGUGGUGGUGCCAUUUUUUCCACCAACUCAUUAGAAAAUCCAGGACUUCAAAUCGCCAUAGUGAAGUUAGAUGGCUCCAACUAUUUGAUUUGGGCACAGUCUGCCAAGAUGUUCAUUCGUGGCAAAGGCAAGAUUGGCUAUAUUACUGGUUCUGAGAAAAAUCCAGCGGAGUCAGGAAGGCAUAACCAUAGUGGUUGGCAGAUAAUGCUAUGGUUAUGCCUUGGCUAAUCAAUUCAAUGUAGCCAAACAUAGCCGUUGGCUACAUGUUUAUGAAGACUGCUAAGCAGAUUUGGGAUUCAGUUCAAUGCAUUUAUUCUCAGAGGCAGAAUAAUGCACUAAUUUUCCAGUUGGGGCGAGAUAUCACUAGGAUUUCUGAGGGUGACUUGACAAUUUCAGGUUACAUCGCCAAGCUUUGUCCUAUUUGGGAAGAGAUGUCAUAUUAUGAUUCCUUUCACUCUUGGAAGGAUCCAGAUGAUGUAAUUUUAUAUGUAGGGAUUGCGGAGAAGAAUCAAGUGUUUCAGUUUCUUGUCGGGUUGAAAGACGAGUUUGAGUAUGCUCUUGUUCAUUUAUUAGGCUUUUCUUCAUUCCCCACUCUUGAUGAUGCAUACUCCUAUGUGUUGUCAGACGAGAGUUGUCAAACUCAUUCAUUAGGUGUUGAAACUGUUGGUCGUUUUGCUAUUGCAGUUCGUGUUCCCAACCUUUCAGGAACUGCACCAUCCCAGUCAGUUCAGAGUUCUACUACUGGUCCUCAUCUGGGACGACAAUGUGGGCGGUGUGACCAUUGCGGAAAAAUUGGUCACAUCAAAUUUCGUUGUUAUGCACUACAUGGAAGCCCACUGCAACAGAAACAACAGCCUCGAUCCUUUGCCCAUUCUGUUACACAUCCAGUCUCGUUGUCGACUCUUGACAACUUUGCCUCGUCAUCUUCUUCCACAGUUACUUUACUCAAGCUGAUUUGGACAAGUUCAAACAAUUCUUCAAUCAAAUGGAGGCAUCAUCUCUACCAACUUCAACUUAUGCCCACUUAGGUACUAUUGCGUCUGCACAUAGCGUAUCUACAUCUUCGACACCAUGGAUCAUUGAUUUUGGUGCUUCAGAUAAUAUAACUGGUAUGUCCUCAUUUUUCCAAUCUUAUAGUAUAUGCUCUAGCCAUCGCAAGACGUACCUUGCGAUGGCUCUCCAUUUUCCAUUACUGGGAAGGGUCACAUAUCAGUUACUCCUUCAUUAACUCUAACUUUGUCCGAUACACUUCAUGUUCCCUAGUUGACUACAAAUCUUAUUUCUGUUAGUAGCCUUACUAAACAAUUAAAUUAUAGUGUAACAUUCUUUCCUUCUCACCGUUUUUUUCAGGAUUUGGUGUCGAAACGGGCGAUUGGCAAUAGACGUGAAGUGGACGGCCUAUACUUGUUGGAUACUCCUUUGUCACCUCAAGGAUUUGGUGUCGAAACGGGCGAUUGGCAAUAGACGUGAAAUGGACGGCCUAUACUUGUUGCAUACUCCUUUGUCACCUCAAGCACAUUCAAUUUCUUUUUCUAAUUCUGUUUCAUCUAAUGAAACCCAGAUUAUGCGUUGGCACAUGCGUUUAGGACAUUUCUUUCGAUUAUUUAAAACAUUUGUUUCCUUCUUUAUUUUGUAACGCGACAGUCUCAGAUUUAUCCCGCGAGACGUGCCAAUUAUCCUGCUAGUAGUAAUAAAUCUGCUUUAACACGUUUUGAUCUUGUUCAUUCAGAUGUGUGGAGUCCUUGCCGAGUUACUUCUAGUCUUGGAUUUCGAUAUUUUGUGUUGUUCAUUCAUGAUCAUAGUCGUGUUACAUGGGUUUAUCUUAUGAAAACCAAAAAUGAGGUGCACACCAUUUUUAAUUUUUUUAUGACAAUGGUUCAGACUCUAUGGUCGUACCAUUAAAAAAAUUAGAUUUGAACAAGGUACGGACUUAUUGGGAGGUACAACGGUUAUGUACAAAAUUUGGGAUUGAGCAUCAAAUGUCUAAUGUUAAAACUCUUUAACAGAAUGACCGUUCUGAGAGAAAAUCGUCACAUCCUUGACUUGGCCCAAGUCAAGAGCAAUCUGCAUUGGCAUGAAUGUUCCCUAUUCAUUUUGAGGAGAUGCAGUUCUCAUAGCUAUCUACAUCAUUAAUAGGACCCUUCUCAGGUUCUUAACUUUGCAGCCCCACUCUUAAUCUUACAUCCCAAUUCAUCUAUUUUUUUAUUCCUCCGCGAGUCUUCAGGUGUGCGUGCUUUGUUCAACAGUUGGGACAGACUCGUAUAAAGCUUGACCCCAAGGCUUUGAAGUGUGUGUUUUUGGGCUAUUCUCACUCUCAAAAAGGUUAUAGGUGUUAACCAUCCUCUGAGUCGUCAGAGGUUUAUAUCUAUGGAUGUUUCUUUCUUUGAGCAUACACCAUACUAUAGUGGUUCGGUUGGUUCUCAAAGUGAAUGGUUUUCAUUGAACACAAUCGAUGAUCACCUUCUUUCAUCUUCAAAUCCUCUACCUUUACCUGUUUUGUCUUCUGUUAUUCCUCCUUGUUAUACUCCUCCAGCAGGGGGAGUUGUUCCUUUUCCACAGGUUUAUAGUCGGAGACAAUAGCUACAAGCCUACCCUAUUUCUAAUUUUGUUUCUGAUUGUGCUCUCUCACCCACCUAUCGGAGUUUUCUUGUUUCUGUUGCCUCGGUUCCUCUUCCUUUUUGUGUUGCAGAUGCUUUAGCACAACCUCAAUGGCAUGAUGUUAUGAUAGAAGAAUUAUAAGACUUGAGAAAAAUCAGACUUGGGACAUGGUUCCGCUUCCUAUUGGACGAAAGGCUGUGGGUUGUCGUUGGAUGUUUACAAUUAAGCAUAAUCCAUAUAGGUCAGUUGCUCGUUACAAGGCCCGGUUGGUUGCCAAAGGUUAUGCUCAGACUUAUGGCAUAGAUUGCCAAGAUGAAUACCAUCUGUGUAUUAUUUUCCGUUGCUGCGAUUCGAUCUUGGCCUCUAUUUCUGUUAGAUGUCAAGAAUGCCUUUCUCAAUGGUGAUUUGCACGAGGAGGUGUAUAUGGUUCCCCUUCUGGGCUUUCGUUCUCUUGCUCAUUCCAGUAUGGUCUGUUGUCUUCGUCGCUCCCUGUAUGGCCUCAAGCAGUCUCCUCGAGCUUGGUCUGAUCGCUUUGGCACUGCCAUGAUCCGAUUUGGUUUCCAUCAGAGUGUAGCUGAUCAUACCUUGUUCUUGUGUCAUUCAGGUGGUAAGACAGUUGCUCUCAUUAUGUAUGUCGAUGAUACUACCAGAAUUGCUGAGAUUAAGAGCUAACUUGGCCGUCAGUUUUAGAUUAAGGAUCUUGGUCCCCUUUGGUACUUCUUGGGCAUUGAGGUGGCUAGCUCCAAGGCUGGCAUUUUCAUCUCUAAACGCAAGUAUGUUCUUGACUUGCUUUCUUCUUCUGGUCAGCUUAGCGCUCGAUCGUGCUGAUAUUCCGAUUGAGCAGAAUCAUUGGUUGGCUGAUUAUGAGGGGGAGUUGUUGUCGAAUGUUGGUCAGCAUCGACAACUUGUUGGGAAGCUCAUCUCUUUAUCCAUGACUUGACUUGACAUUGCUUAUGCCGCGAGUGUCGUGAGUCAAAUUCAUGCAUUCUCCUGUACCCCUUACCUUGAUGCAGCUAUUUGGAUCCUUCGCUACUUAAAGGGGUGUUCGGGCCGUGGUGUUUUGUUUUCCAAUCAUGGUCACUUAAGUGUUAAGGCUUGGACAUAUGUUGAUUAUGGAGGAUUAGUUUCAAAUAGGAGGUCCACUUCGGGCUAUUGUACCACUAUUGGUGGCAACUUGGUUACUUGGUGCAUAAGAAGCAGGAUGUUGUCUCUCGAUCUAGUGCAGCGGAGUAUAGAGCUAUGGCUCUUGGGGUAUGUGAGUUGCAUGGUUGAAAACCUUGAUGACAAACGUGUGCCUUCCAGUGUCGCUUCCAUUCUCACUUUAGUGUGACAACAAGUCUGCCAUUAACAUAGCAGUAAAUCUCGUUCAACAUGACAGAACUUAGCAUAUAGAGGUGGAUUGUCACUUCAUUCGAGAGAAGAUCAUUUCUGGUCAAAUUUACACUCCAUUUGUCACAAGCUCUCAGCAGUUUGCAGACAUUCUUACAAAGGGCGUCAGGAAGAUUGUGCUUGAGAAUGCAUUGUUCAAGUUGGGCGUUUCAGAUAUCCACGCACCAACUUAAGGGGGAGUGUUAGCAGAUAUGAUAGCCACGAUUUAUGGAAUGACUUACCAUAUUAGCAGAGACUUGAUUAUGCUAUAUAAUAUGCCAUAUAAUAUACUUUAGAAUAUGCUAUGAUUUGAUUUAAAUUUGAUUUAAUUUCCUUUCUUGUAAUAUGAGCAUGUUCUCUUUUUAUCUAUAAAAACUAGAACUGUAAAUGAGUGAUUCAUCUCAUUCAAGCCUUUACACAAUUUUCUCCGUCUUCUUCUUUUUAUAUUUUUUCUACUUGCUCUUCUGAGGUGGGAGUCCCUAACGGAACUGGGGUUUGGAAAUUCAUCCGGAAGGGGUGGGAUGAAUUUUGUAAACACAUCAGAUUUCAUGGUAGGGAUGUCAGGGUAUCCGUUUUUGGGAGGUCACUUGGUGCGGUGGUUGUCCUUUUGCCUUCACUUUCCCUAGACUUUUCCGAAUUGCUUUAGAUAGACAUGCCUUGGUGAUCGACUGCUAUUGUCUCAACAGUUGGAGAAUGGUUUGGGAUGUUAAUUUCCCGAGGCAUUUUCAAGAUUGGGUGAUUGAGGGUGCCAUUGGUUUUUUUGGAGCUGCUUUAUCGCUUAGAGAUUGUGGGGGAGGUUACGACCUUGUGUGUGGAUUCCUUCUUCUCUGGGUCAUUUUGAUGUUCGGUCAUUUUACAGAAUUCUUUCGGAUGCUCGGGGCACUACCUUCCCAUGGAGGGCCAUUUGGCGUUCAAAAGCCCCUCUCAAAGUGGCUUUCUUUGCAUGGACGUCCAUCUUGGGGAAGAUCUUAACCCAAGAUAACCUCAAGGGGAGGAAACAGAUUGUGGUCAUUUGGUGUUGCAUGUGUAAGAAUGACGAGUAAACGGUUGAUCACCUCCUUUUGCAUUGUCUCGUGGCUCGGAAUUGCAGGAUUUUGUUGUUGGGUUUGUUUGGGGUUCAGUGGGUUACGCUCAGGUCCUCGAGAGACUUGGUUGAUGCUUGGAGAGGUUGUAUGGUGGGGGCCCAAGUUGGUGAUUUCUGGAGGGUUAGACUUUAUGCGUCUGGUGGUGUUUAUGGCUUGAAAGAAAUAGGAGAUCCUUUGAAGGAAAGGAGAAUCCUAUUGGGAUGUUGAAGUUUUUCAUUACUAGUACUCUUUCUUGUUGGGUUCUAGAGAGAAAUUGUAAAUCCUUGGAGGAACUUGUUGAUUUUUGGGACUCUUCGAGUGUAUAGAGGCCCUAUUUGGCCUUGUGUAACUUUUGAGGAAUGUGUUUCUCGCGUUUGAACACUUUUUAUACAAUCUUUCCUUAUCGAAAAAAAAAAAAAAAUCAAUACCAAGCUGUCUAUAAGUUUGUUAUUGCAAAACUUUGGCUGAACCGCAAGGAGGGACCCAGAGGUCAUCAUGGUACUGGUACAGAAGCUUCUGUUUCUGUUAGAAAUCUGUGUUGGAUACUUUGGGGAUGAAUAUUGAGGAUCUUAAUGCUAUCCGUUUCUGGUUUACUUUUCAUGUGGACAAUUAAGAUUCAGCUAGAUGAUUCUGUAUGUUUAUUUUUUUAUUAUUUUAUUUUAUAUAUAUAUAUAAAAUAAAAAAAUAAAAAAUAAACAUACAGAAUAUAUAUAUAUAUAUAUAUAUAUAAAAUAAUAA